GCCUGGGUGGCUCAGUUGGUUGAGCGUCUGACUUCUGAUUUCAGCUCAGGUCAUGACGUCAUGGUCUGUGGGUUCAAGCCCCAUGUGAGGCC
rnacentral:tRNA from 1 species